GCUGUAGUAGUGUAGUGGUUAUCAUCCUAGCCUUCCAAGCUUGGGACCGGCGUUCGAUUCGCCGUUACAGCA
rfam:Rosellinia necatrix DNA, scaffold: Contig30, strain: W97.